rnacentral:rRNA from 1 species
CGAGUGGCGAACGGGUGAGUAAUACAUCGGAACGUGUCCGCUCGUGGGGGACGAACCAGCCGAAAGGUUGGCUAAUACCGCAUGAGUUCUACGGAAGAAAGAGGGGGACCCGCAAGGGCCUCUCGCGAGCGGAGCGGCCGAUGACUGAUUAGCCGGUUGGUGAGGUAACGGCUCACCAAAGCAACGAUCAGUAGCUGGUCUGAGAGGACGACCAGCCACACUGGGACUGAGACACGGCCCAGACUCCUACGGGAGGCAGCAG